AGUAUUAUCAUGUGAAAGACACAGCUGUGGAGAGGCAAAGUGAAUUUGAAACAUUUUGACAUUUCCAGUCAGGACUGAAUGUGCUGAUAAUUCGCAAAAGUCCUGAGAUGUGAAGCAAAAAGAAGGCUUUCAUCAAUCCUGGGGCUAGUCUACUUUCUGGAAUAUGUCCAUUGUACAAUAUGAGGAAUGAGAAGGGUUAUAUUCUGCAGAAAGUUCUACAGCAUAAUAACAAAUGCAGUAACAGGUGUAUGGCUGUGGUGGAAGCUUGGUGAAAUUGAAACUAGAACAGGAAUAAACCUUUACUUCAUUUAUACUUUAGGUGACAAGGUAGCACAUUUGUACAUAAUAAGGCUGGCCUGGGGAUGGAGGGAGUCCCUGCCCUGACUGUGACUCAGUGAGACUCUUUGCCUGGUCCUAGUCCAAGAGAAACACAUGCUAUGAUCUCACUGAAGUCUGAAGUGACUCUGAAACUUUGCAGUAAAAAGAAAAUUUCAUCCUUUAAGAUG
rnacentral:lncRNA from 1 species